AGUAAUAAAGAUUCCCCUACCAGUACGGAGUGAAAUUGUGAUAACUCCUGGCACAACCAUUAAGACCCUCAUCUAUAGUGGACUGGAACAAAGCACAGGUAAAAGGAUAUCUUUGGAUUGUGCUUUUGAACAAUUUUGUGUUUGCCUUACUUUACCGUUUUGAUAACUUUGUUAACUAUUGCUAAUUUGUUAACUUCUCUUAUUUUAGAACUUAUAAAAAAGAAAAAAGUGCACAUUCAGUUUAAUGAGGUGUUAAUUCAAGGAAUGCUGUGAGAGUCAGAAGUUCUAAAUGCCAGUGUUUAAAAAGAUCCAUGUCACAGUGAUCUUGGGUAGGCUGGGACACACCAGCUCACUGACGGACCUGAAAAUGGAUUGCUGUGGGACUACAACCCUACUCAGGAUAUUCUGAGUUAUAAGUGGUAUGCUUGGUUGUUUUGUCUUACGUACAGGGAGGAGUCACCUAAGGUAAAAAAAAAUAUAUGUAUAAAUGCCUUGGAAGGGACAAAUGACUCAAUGUUUGGUCAGGGUUCUUGGAAGGUUUGACAAAAUGAGAUCAGAGAAUAGGAAUAUGGAUGGAUUUACAGGAGCGAGCAAAA
rnacentral:lncRNA from 10 species